rnacentral:rRNA from 1 species
UACGUAGGGCGCAAGCGUUGUCCGGAAUUAUUGGGCGUAAAGAGCUCGUAGGCGGCCUGUUGCGUCCGCUGUGAAAUCCCGGGGCUCAACCCCGGGCCUGCAGUGGAUACGGGCUGGCUAGAGGCAGGCAGGGGAGAACGGAAUUCCUGGUGUAGCGGUGAAAUGCGCAGAUAUCAGGAGGAACACCGGUGGCGAAGGCGGUUCUCUGGGCAUGUCCUGACGCUGAGGAGCGAAAGUGUGGGGAGCGAACAGG